rnacentral:rRNA from 1 species
UACAGGGGGGGGCAAGCGUUGUUCGGAAUUACUGGGCGUAAAGGGCUCGUAGGUGGCCGACUAAGUCAGACGUGAAAUCCCUCAGCUUAACUGGGGAACUGCGUCUGAUACUGGAUGGCUUGAGUUUGGGAGAGGGAUGCGGAAUUCCAGGUGUAGCGGUGAAAUGCGUAGAUAUCUGGAGGAACACCGGUGGCGAAGGCGG